AUUGAACGCUGGCGGCAUGCCUUACACAUGCAAGUCGAACGGCAGCACGGGAGCAAUCCUGGUGGCGAGUGGCGAACGGGUGAGUAAUAUAUCGGAACGUGCCCAGUCGUGGGGGAUAACGCAGCGAAAGCUGUGCUAAUACCGCAUACGAUCUACGGAUGAAAGCGGGGGAUCGCAAGACCUCGCGCGAUUGGAGCGGCCGAUAUCAGAUUAGCUAGUUGGUGGGGUAAAGGCCUACCAAGGCGACGAUCUGUAGCUGGUCUGAGAGGACGACCAGCCACACUGGAACUGAGACACGGUCCAGACGCCUACGGGAGGCAGCAGUGGGGGAUUUUGGACAAUGGGCGCAAGCCUGAUCCAGCAAUGCCGCGUGCAGGAUGAAGGCCUUCGGGUUGUAAACUGCUUUCGUACGGAACGAAACGGUGAGCUCUAAUACAGUUUGCUAAUGACGGUACCGUAAGAAUAAGCACCGGCUAACUACGUGCCAGCAGCCGCAGUAA
rnacentral:rRNA from 1 species